rnacentral:sRNA from 1 species
CAAUUUUUUUUUUUUUUUUUUGAGACAGAGUCUUGCCCUGUUGCCCAGGCUGGAGUGCAGUGGUGCAAUCUCGGCUCACUGCAAGCUCUGCCUCCUGGGUUCAAGUGAUUCUUCUGCAUCUGCCUCCCAAGUAGCUGGGACUACAGGCGCCUGCCACCAUGCCUGGCUAAUUUUUGUACUUUUAGUAGAAAUGGGGUUUCACCGUGUUAGCCAGGAUGGUCUCGAACUCCUAACCUUGUGAUCCGCCCACCUCAGCCUCCUUAAGUGCUGGGAUUUACAGGCAUGAGCCACCACGCCUGGGCUAUUUUCUCACAAUUUAUGACUUGUCCCAGAAGUUGUUAAUUUUGAUGAAAUCCAGUUUACCUUUUGUUUUUCUUUUAUGGAUCAUGUUUUUGGUGUUAUGUCUAAGAACUCUGCCUAACUCAAGGAUACUAAGAUUUUCUCUUCUCUUUUCUUCCAGAAAUUUUAUAGUUUUCAGUUUUAUACCCAGGUCUAUGAUUGAUAUGCUUGGACCUGUGUCCCCGCCAAAAUUUCUUGAGUUGUAGGGGCGUGGUGGGAGAUGAUUGGUUCGUGGGGCAGUUUCUCAUGAAUGGUUUAGCACCAUUCCCCUUGGUACUGUCCUCACGAUAGUAAGUUCUCAUGAGAUCUGGUUGUUUAAAUGUGUGCAGCACCUCCCCCUUGCUCUCUCUUGCUCCUAUUCCUGCCAUGUGAGACGCCUUUGCCUUCUGCCAUGAUUGUAAGUUUCCUGAGGCCUCCCUAGAAGCCAAGCUGAAGCCACCGUGCUUCCUGUGCAGCCUGCAGAACUGUGAGCAACUCAACCUCUUUUCUUCAUUAAUUACCCAGUCUAAGGUAUUCUUUACAGCAGUGUGAGAACGGAAUAAUACAUUGAUUGUUUUGAGUAAAUUUUUCUAUGUGGGGCAAGGUAUAGUCUUCUUUUAAUACAUUGCUGGAUUUGUAUGGAACCAUUCUUUGCAGGAGUUCUCACUGUAAUGAAAUUUGUCCCUGUUUUGUUGGUUGUUUUCAUAGCAUCUCUGGAAGUUGAUGGUAGAAGAAUCCGAUUUACUGGGUCAGCUGAAGGUAAUGGCUUAGCUGUUGUAAUUCUUACGGUGAUGCUGGUAGGCAGUGACUUGCAUUCUCUGACGUUUCCUGAGAGCACUGGUUGCCUAUACCCAGACUUCCAGAGUCAACUCAUUUGUUCUUAUCCAAGUGAGCAAACUAUACCUAAUGCCACAAAUCUACUAUAAUACAAAGGUUUGGGAGUGUACUUUUUUCUGGCAUAUAUAUAUAAUUAUGUUGCUAUUGAAUAAAUAAUGCCAAAUACACACCAGUCAUCCUGCUAUGCGGAACUAAGUAUGCCUCUUUGAAAUGCCAAAUGCCUAUAUCUUUUGUAGCUUGGGCUCAAAUUGAUGAAAUUAGAAAUUACUGUAUACGUGUAAUUCCUCAGGACAGUGAGGAGCUCCUGCCUUGCUUUACUGAAUUGUAAAUUGAAAUUCUUUCCUCAGAUCAUUAAAGACUUUUACCUUCUGGGACGUGGAGAACUGUUUCAGGCCUUCAUUGACACAGCUCAACACAUGUUGAAAACACCACCCACUGCAGUAACUGAGCAUGAUGUGAAUGUGGCCUUUCAACAGUCAGCACACAAGGUAUUGCUAGAUGAUGACAACCUUCUCCCUCUGUUGCACUUGACAAUCGAGUAUCACGGAAAGGAGCACAAAGAUGCUACUCAGGCAAGAGAAGGGCCUUCUCGGGAAACUUCUCCCCGGGAAGCCCCUGCAUCUGGCUGGGCAGCCCUAGGUCUUUCCUACAAAGUACAGUGGCCACUACAUAUUCUCUUCACCCCAGCUGUCCUGGAAAAGUACAAUGUUGUUUUUAAGUACUUACUGAGUGUGCGCCGGGUGCAAGCUGAGCUGCAGCACUGCUGGGCCCUACAAAUGCAGCGCAAGCACCUCAAGUCGAACCAGACUGAUGCAAUCAAGUGGCGCCUAAGAAAUCACAUGGCAUUUUUGGUGGAUAAUCUUCAGUACUAUCUCCAGGUAGAUGUGUUGGAGUCUCAGUUCUCCCAGCUGCUUCAUCAGAUCAAUUCUACCCGAGACUUUGAAAGCAUCCGAUUGGCUCAUGACCACUUCCUGAGCAAUUUGCUGGCUCAAUCCUUUAUCCUAUUGAAACCUGUAAGUAAGGCUCAUUGGUUUCCUCAGACUGCUUCUACCACUGACCAUUCCCUUAGGCACUUUGAGUUGACAGGAUACGAAACCAUCAUUAAGCAAUUAUUCAAGUCCAUUUUAAAACAUUUUUUAAGAAUGUGUAAAGCGGCGGGGCAUGGUGGCUCAUGCCUGUAAUCCCAGCACUUCGGGAGGCCGAGGUGGGCGGAUCACAAGGUCAGGAGUUCAAGACCAGCCUGGCCAACAUGGUGAAACCCUGUCUCUACUAAAAAUACAGAAGAAAAAAAAAAUAAUAGGUGUGGUGGCUCGCGCCUGUAAUCCCAGCUACUUGGGAGGCCUGAGGCAGGAGAAUUGCUUGGACCCAGGAGGCAGAGGUUGCAGUGAGCCAAGAUCAUUCCACUGCACUCCAGCCUGGGCAACAGAGCAAGAUUCUGUCUUGGGGGAGCAGAUAAAAAAAAAAGAAUGUGUAAAGCAAAACUAAAAAGGCAUGUUAAACGGGACCUAAGAUGUCUUUGAAUUUCUGAAAUACAGGGUGUGGUGAGCAGCUACAGAUGAAAGAAUUAUGUGCUUAAACCCUCAGGAGUUAAAGAAACUCAAAAUUCUUGCUGACAAUACAGAAAAACCAAUGAAAAGCAUAUAGAGUUCACGUUCUUAGAAAUCUUUUGGACCAGGAUGGAUCAGUCAUUUGAAAGUUCUUUUCAUAGACAACUAGAGUAGUGUUUCUCUCUCGAUCUAUGUAUGUGUUUCUGUAAGUACAUAUAUGUCUCCUUCGUGGCAGUUAUUUUCAACUUUGGCUGCACAUUGGAAUCAUCGGGACUCUUUAAAAAAAUCUAGGUGACAGAGCACUUAAAUUAGAAUCCCUGUAAUAGUGGGACCCAGGUACUAAUUUUUUUUAAAGCUCACAAGCUAGUUCCAAUUCCAGGAUAAAGAACAGGAAGACUGAAAUGAUCUCUGGUAGUUUCUAAUGUAACGGUUAUGCCUCCUCUCUGACAUGAGCUGGUUGUUAUUCCUCAGUGUGCUACAGCACAGCUGUUACAGACUUUUUAAAAAUGUUCUGGUGUUUAGGGCUAUUUCUGCUGUACCAGGAAGAGUAAGAUAUAUAUUAAUAGAUGCCACUCCAGAGGGCUGGUUGAAAACAGCCAAGAACUACUGUGAUGGGUGGAUGCUGUCCUUAUGUGGCAUAGAUGUAUCCAUAGGAAAAAGCAGAAUAUCAGAGCAGGUCAUCAUCAUUAAAUAUUUAUUGAGUGCUUACUGUAUGCAAGGCACUGGGGAUACAAAGAGGUAUAAUUCAUGGCUCUGCCCUUAAGGAGCUCACAAUCUAGUUGGAAAAACAAGACAUAUAUAUAUAUAUAUACAUACAAAAAUCAGUAACAACACAGAGGCCUGAACAAUUGCCAAGUGGACAACAGUACAGAUAAUAAAGAAGCAAGAAACGAGGGUUCACUAAAGGCUAUAGUGGGGAAGGGAGUGCUUCACUGAGAGAGUGGGACUUGAACUGGUAUUAAAAACAAGAGCAUCCCGGGCAAAGGGAACAACACUCACAGCUCAGAGGCAGGAAGACACUCUGCGGGUCUAAGAAAUGAAGAGUUAAAUGUGGCUAGAUUGGAGGUUUGGUGCAGGGCUAAGAGAGUAAUACUUGCUUAGCCAGGAAAGGAUGCAUUUGUUUUACACAUUUUGUACGUCUGAGGGGCUGGCAGGCCUUGCAAGUGGCAGUGUCUAUCCUCUCAGAUUUGGGAGGUCAGCUAUUAAUUAGAUCAGCUAUUAAUUAGACUGUUCUCCUAAAACUUUAACUUCAUGGAUGUACCUUCCUUCCUUUCCUAAUGCCAACUCUGUUUCCCGGGUAGGUGUUUCACUGCCUGAAUGAAAUCCUAGAUCUCUGUCACAGUUUUUGUUCGCUGGUCAGUCAGAACCUAGGCCCACUGGAUGAGCGUGGAGCCGCCCAGCUGAGCAUUCUCGUGAAGGGCUUUAGCCGCCAGUCUUCACUCCUGUUCAAGAUUCUCUCCAGUGUUCGGAAUCAUCAGAUCAACUCAGAUUUGGCUCAACUACUGUUACGACUAGAUUAUAACAAAUACUAUACCCAGGCUGGUGGAACUCUGGGCAGUUUCGGGAUGUGAAAAUUUCUGGCUCAUAAAUUGAAAUAACAGCCACGUUCCCAAGGUUGUAACAGAAGAUUCAAAACAUCCCAUUCUAGCCACACACAAAUAUCUGCGGCUUAGUGA